CUAGUACUCCCUUUGUCCCGAAUUACUUGUUCUAAAGUAGAUAAAAAUAAAUGUAUCUAGAAUUAAAAUACAUCUAGAUACAUUUAUUUCCAUGACAAAUAAUUCAGGAUGGAAGGAGUAUUCC
rfam:Triticum aestivum genome assembly, contig: Triticum_aestivum_CS42_TGACv1_scaffold_095197_2AL